UUUUUUGUUGGUGGUGGUGGUUGGUUGGUUUUUUUGUUUGUUCAUUUGUUGUUUUCUUAUACUAACAUUUUUGAUCAAUCCCCUUAUUCUUUUUAUUGGAAACAGAAAUAACUGGGUAUCUUAUUCAACACUAUCUGCAAAAAACAGGACACUUUGUAAUCAGGAUUCCUUGGGCAGUAUGUUGCAGUAUGAUGGCCUACAGGGCACACAAGGGAGAAGACAAAUACAUGGUCUCUUAAUUCUGCCUGGGCUUAUACACUGGAUCAAUACACAGCAGAAGGCUGAAGCUGAGUGCCUACAAGGAUCUGAAAGGAUCUAAGAACCUGACAGAGUGAUUGGAGUUCAGCUGUGUCUUGUCCAGCCCUCCUCCUUCAUGGCUCCUCACACCAAGCCCUGCCUGGGAAGGAUCUUUGUGCUGCUGCCUUAGGGGCUUGCUGGAUCCUCCUGUCAUCUGUCUGCUUACUGGCACAGCUGCUCCACUGUGGAGAGAGAAGCAUUCUGAGAAACGUUUAAGCAGAAAGACACAACCGAGGUGCUGAACAGCUUGGUGAGGAUGAACAACAUAGAGGAGGGUCAGGAGAAGAGCAGAGAAUUCAGGACUGAGUGGUUCAAGGACAGCAGGAGAUAGGGGUGAGGGCUGGCUGCUGGGAAGACCCUCACUGAGGAUGGAUCGACACUGAGAAUGGCCACUGAAAGCCUGCCAGAAACUUUCUGAGACUCAGCAUUCCUUAUGGAAGGAGCGAUUCUGGGAGUCUGGG
rnacentral:lncRNA from 1 species